AUAAGUUGUCACUUAACAUAAAACUAUGAUAACUCUGUAUACAUUCGUUCGACUGAUAAAGAAUUUUCUUUGAAACUAUGAAGUCUGUAAGCCAAGUGAUUAGCCUCGUGAUUAUUAGUGUGGUGGUGAUUAUUCUCCCACCGUGCGGGGCAGCACUUGGACAAAGAAAGACCUGAUUAGAGGUCCCAAAUUCAAGAACCCCCGCACUGAGAAGUCGGGGGUUUUUUUAUGGAUGAUAAAAAUUUAAUCAAUAUCAAAUAAUAAACACAACAA
rfam:Pragia fontium strain 24613, complete genome.